GUUUUUCGCUUCCCGAUGAGCCCGCGUCAGAUUAGCUAGUUGGUGAGGUAACGGCUCACCAAGGCAACGAUCUGUAACUGGUCUGAGAGGAUGACCAGUCACACUGGAACUGAGACACGGUCCAGACUCCUACGGGAGGCAGCAGUAGGGAAUAUUGCACAAUGGAGGAAACUCUGAUGCAGCGACGCCGCGUGAGUGAUGAAGGACUUCGGUUCGUAAAGCUCUGUCGCAUGGGAAUAAUAAAGUG
rnacentral:rRNA from 1 species